rnacentral:rRNA from 1 species
CGCGUAGGCGGUUAUGUAAGUCAGAUGUGAAAUACUCCGGCUCAACCAGAGAAUUGCAUCUGAAACUGUGUAGCUAGAGUACAGGAGAGGGAAACGGAAUUCCCGGUGUAGAGGUGAAAUUCGUAGAUAUCGGGAGGAACACCAGUGGCGAAGGCGGUUUCCUGGCCUGAUACUGACGCUGAGGCGCGAAAGCGUGGGGAGCAAACA